GCUGCAGCGGCGCGCAGCCGCGCAGCAGCGGGGCUUGGGCUGCGGAUGCGCGGUGGCGCGCGGCGCGUGACUGCCGGCGGGCAUGGCCGCGGCGGCCCCUGUGGCUGCGGCGGCCAGCACGCGGCCGACCGGCGCGGCUUCCCCAUCUGGGCGACGUCCUCGCCGAGCGACGCAGGUCCUCACCUAGGCGCCGGCCUUCUCCGCACGGGCGGCCCUCCCCACCGAGCCGCUGCGCCGGUCUUGCCCCAACGCAUCGCCGGCCUUUCUCCCCGUGCCGCCGGCCACCUUCCUCGACAUGCCGCCCGUGUCCCGAGCAUGUCUCUGACUAUCUGUCUCUGUUAUUUGUUGCGGAACUACAAGUUCUGAACAAUUUAGGCUUUGUAUUUCCUGCUAGCGAAACUUCUUUUAGGUAACACUUAUCACAGUGCAAGUUUUCAUGAGAAGCCCCUAUGACUACUUUUAGGUAACACUUAUCUCUGAAUGGUUGUUAUUUGCCCUUUUAUGCUAGAUAACAUGUGCAAACAGGCUGAAUCGUGGAUGCAUAUACGGUCGAUGAAGCUUUUAUAACAAGUUUGGGAAGAAACAUCAAUUGUUUCCAUAGUGUUCCCUCCUAAUGGAUCUUUUUUCUCAGGCACAGGUUAAACAGUUCCUUUUCAUCUCAAUGUAUUUGAUUAACCAUGUAGGAAGUAUCUACUGGUAUUCCUUUCUUUUCAUCUUUCAUCGGUAAGAAAUCCUCUAGCUUGGACCCCUUCUUUGCUGCGAGUGAUCUAGUCCAAACUUGUAUAGAUACUCGAAUCCAUCAGUACACUCUAUUGUAUAUUUGCUUGAUAUAUGUAAGCAACAAUUUGCCUUGA